CGGAGUGUUGGCGUAUGUCGCCACCUACUGGACAAAGGUGAACUUACAUACGGUGGAAUAAACGGAACUCUCAAUUAGGAUUGAAAAUGUUCCACACGGAGCUAAUAGUGUGGCUACACUGACAGUCAGAACGUUCUCGAGUUGUUGUUUUGAAUACAGGACAAAUGUAAAAUGAUUACAUUAUUUAAGUGGUGCGAGUGUCUGUCACAUAUCCCACUGCUACAAAUUUAGGCAAGAAUGGUAACGUCUUGCUGUAACGUUAGUAUUAGUUACAGAUUUAGUAUGAUUUCGAAUUAGCGUUGGUAGGCUAUGUUUGACGGAAUAAAACAUCACGGUAAUAUUUCAACAACAGUUAACGCUAAAACUGCAAUCUGCAGUAGAAGACAGCAGUGUGGGGAGGAAUCGAGCCGUGUGUCAAACCCCAGGAGGAUUAAAAACAUGAGCAGCUGUGGGGACAAGCCAGAGAUGGACAGACUGCAGGUGUACAGUUCAAAUAUCCCGACCUGAAUGACAGACGUCUCUCUGGUGAAGAAGACUUCUCUAGUCAUGCUUUAGUCUGCUUAAACUCAUGUUCUUCCUUAAAACCAAUCUUUCAUCAAAACUUAAAAAAAAAAAUAGAAAGAGAGUGAAAAGUGACCACAAACACAAAAUGCUAGCUUUUCACUGUAGAUGUAGAUAAUAUCUAGUCAUUUUGUACAAUUGAGAAAUCGAGCCUUGCACUAAACCUAACACAUCUGACAGCUGCAAUGAACCUGCUGCUCAAGGCCCACAACACAAGAAGCAGCUCUCCGAAUCAAAAGGAUGAGCCAUUCAGCUGUCUCAGCUCAAUGAUAGAGGCUAUAGCAGCCAGUGGGAGUCCUGUGAAAAGCCAGCAGCUGGGAGAGCCAGACUUAACUUUGGAGUAGAAGAAGAAGGUUUUAAUGGAUCAGUACAAAUCA